GGCCAUGUUAAUAUAUAUAUAUAUAUCUCCCUCCUACUACAGUCACUAAUCCCUCCAUUGUUUUCGUCCCUAGCUAUGAGCUGAUCUCUCUCUCUCUCUCUCUCUCUCAUCUCUCUCUGAGGACUUGAACCUAGAGACAGAUCUCGGACUUAUAUGCUUAUUUCUCCUCAGUAUUCUGCUCAUUUUUAUUGCUUAUAUUUAUUUGUUUCCCUUCCCCCAUCCCAUAUGUAUGUGUUUCUUUAAUUGAACUCCAUCGGGUUCUGCUUCUCACUUUUGUUUUUUUUUUUUUUUUUUUCCCUUCAUUUUAUUAACUUUUUUUCUCUGUUGGUCUCCUCUCUGUAAUCUGGCAUGGAAAGUUAUAAUACCAAAUGGGUCUUCUUCCCUGAGCCCGAACCUUACUCCCUUCGCUUUUAAACUGUUGUUCUUGCGGGAAUCUAAUCGGAAAAAUCUGAUCAACAUAUGAUUUCAAAGUUUUUAUCUAUUGGAUAUGGCUGGUAACAUUAAUUUUUUUCUUUGGGUUCAAAACAUAAUGAAUAGGGUUUUGUUUUAUUCCAAGAGGUCCUUAUUCGAUAAUUGAAAGUUUUGUUUCUAUGGUAGAGUUAGAAACUGUAGAUUCUUCUCGGGGUACCCCUCAAGUAGUACUUUAUGUUCCAGCCACUGGUAAUCCGCCACCUCAUCUUAUGCCCGUGGCCUUGGGCUAAGUUGUACGUGAAAUGUCAUAUUUUGUCCUUUUGUUUUCCUUUUUUUGCACUCUUUCUUGCUUUGUUUCUGCUUUUCAUGACGAGGGUCUUCCUAUGGAAAUAUUUUGGAUGUACUUCUGCUUCUUUUCUUGAUAUAAAAGUCCACAUUUUCGGUUAAUUAGGCUUUGUGCAUGAUGAUAGAUUGACAGUCAGUUGUUUGCGGGUGUGGCAUCUUCAAGAUUCACAUGGAAAAGCACGGUUGGUGAUGCAAAAUCUCUCUGCCAAAGCUCUUUGAAAGUGAGAAUCUUGAUGAUGCUGCAUCGGCAAGAAACGACUCUACAAAAGUGGAUUUUCUCCCACCAAUCAGAUCGAGCUGCCAUUCAACAGACCUGUUAAUAUUCUUCUGCAAAAAAUUUGUUAUGGUGGGAAAUAGUAUCUUUUCAGGUGCUUCUUGUUGGAGAUGGAGAUGGGGUUUUAUUAUUUUAUUGCUGGAAAUUAAAGAGAAAGAGAAUGUUGAUGAUGCUAGCUGCAUGAGCUUUAAAAUAUAUAUUCUGGAAAGAAAGGCAAAGAAACAGUAACAGGUGGAAUGUGGAACUAAUUGCUUGAGUUGUCUACGAAUGGAUUGACAAAUGUGAACAGAAACUGAGAUGAAAGGUGAG